CAGCCGCCGCGGGAAAACGUAGGUGGCAAGCGUUAUCCGGAAUUAUUGGGCGUAAAGCGCGCGUAGGCGGUUUUUUAAGUCUGAUGUGAAAGCCCACGGCUCAACCGUGGAGGGUCAUUGGAAACUGGAAAACUUGAGUGCAGAAGAGGAAAGUGGAAUUCCAUGUGUAGCGGUGAAAUGCGCAGAGAUAUGGAGGAACACCAGUGGCGAAGGCGACUUUCUGGUCUGUAACUGACGCUGAUGUGCGAAAGUGUGGGGAUCAAACAGGAUUAGAUACCCCCGUAGUCCCUGUCUCUUAUAC
rnacentral:rRNA from 1 species